rnacentral:rRNA from 1 species
CCUACGGGGAGCAGCAGUGGGGAAUAUUGGGCAAUGGGCGCAAGCCUGACCCAGCAACGCCGCGUGAAGGAAGAAGGCUUUCGGGUUGUAAACUUCUUUUCUCAGGGACGAAGCAAGUGACGGUACCUGAGGAAUAAGCCACGGCUAACUACGUGCCAGCAGCCGCGGUAAUACGUAGGUGGCAAGCGUUAUCCGGAUUUACUGGGUGUAAAGGGCGUGUAGGCGGGACUGCAAGUCAGAUGUGAAAACCACGGGCUCAACCUGUGGCCUGCAUUUGAAACUGUAGUUCUUGAGUACUGGAGAGGCAGACGGAAUUCCUAGUGUAGCGGUGAAAUGCGUAGAUAUUAGGAGGAACACCAGUGGCGAAGGCGGGUUGCUAGACUGUAACUGACACUGAGGCACGAAAGCGUGGGGAGCAAACAGGAUUAGAUACCCUAGUAGUC